UCAUAUGCAGAUGUCCCUUCAUGCGGGAGAAAAUUGGUUCAGGACAUGAUCUGGAAAGAAGCGCCAUACUCUGGGUCAACCAAGCCAGCUUUUCUACAUAACCAGGCCCGCUGCUCAGGAAGAUGGAGACUUUUGAGAGGAUGAAAGGACCAUUCAAGCUCAUAUCCAAAAUAUGUCUACAGAGAUGCUUAAAGUACACUUUGGGAGGAAGUAGAGAAACUAAUGGCAUAUACAAAACAGACAUAUUAUGAUGGAGGGCCAAAUUCAUUAAAACUUCUAGCAUAUAGACUUAAAAAGCAGAGUAAGAAAGCUUACAUUACAAAAUUAAAGACAGAAGGUAG